rnacentral:rRNA from 1 species
GACGACCGCUGGCGGCGUGCUUAACACAUGCAAGUCGAACGGAAAGGCCCUGCUUUUGUGGGGUGCUCGAGUGGCGAACGGGUGAGUAACACGUGAGUAACCUGCCCUUGACUUUGGGAUAACUUCAGGAAACUGGGGCUAAUACCGGAUAGGAGCUCCUGCUGCAUGGUGGGGGUUGGAAAGUUUCGGCGGUUGGGGAUGGACUCGCGGCUUAUCAGCUUGUUGGUGGGGUAGUGGCUUACCAAGGCUUUGACGGGUAGCCGGCCUGAGAGGGUGACCGGCCACAUUGGGACUGAGAUACGGCCCAGACUCCUACGGGAGGCAGCAGUGGGGAAUAUUGCACAAUGGGCGGAAGCCUGAUGCAGCAACGCCGCGUGCGGGAUGACGGCCUUCGGGUUGUAAACCGCUUUCGCCUGUGACGAAGCGUGAGUGACGGUAAUGGAUAAAGAAGCACCGGCUAACUACGUG